AGAUUGGAUUUUUUUAAACAAAAGAUAGACCAAAAACUUACAAUGAUAAUGUGUUGAGAAUGAAUCCAACAUUGAUGAGAGGAGGGACCUUACAUGUUCUUAUAAGAGGUUGGACUACUCUUCAUAUUUGCAGUUGAUUUUUCGGUAGAACCGCAACUUUCUAUUAGAGCAGGUUGUCCCACAUAUGAUGCCAAAUGGCCACACACACUCCACGUUACCUCCCUUAUUUGUGUUGUCCACGUAUUAGGCUAAAAAAAUUUCCACACAUGAGAUGACGUAUUGAGAAUGAAUCUCACACUGAUAGGAGGAAGAACCUUACAUGUGCUUAUAAAAAGUUAAACUACUACGUACCCAUAUUAUCAAUUAAUUUUAUAUUGUAAUCUCAACUUUUUCUUUCAAAAUACCCUUGAGAUCCCUAAGUGCCUCAUAUCAAACUUAAUUUUACAAGCCACAACAAAAAGAAAAUGAGAAAAUCCGAAAAAAAAAAAAAAAACAUUUUGGCUUCACAUGACCAAGCGUGGCUAAUUCAUCCGCUACCAUACUGGCUUGACGAUAGACAUGUUGAAGAUGACCACAUGCAGAGUAGAUUGGAUUGUACCAUAUGCAUGAACUUAGACAUUUUCCCUUUUUACGAAAAGCUCAAGCAUUAUACAAAACAAAAUUGUAAUUCUUUUGUAGUUUUUGCUGAGUUGUAAAGCACACGUUGCUGAGAAAGACAUGAUCAGAUUUGUUUGGUGCAUGCGUGUUUAACAAUUUUACGGGUGUUAUAUGUAUUUCAUGUGAUUUCUACAAUGCUUCAUGAUCGCGUGCAUUCUGUUGAAUAUAUCAAUCCCAACUCAUCACUGCCAGCUCAUCAACACAGUUGUAAAGGAUUAGAUUAUGUAAUAGUUAGUUAAAAAGUUAGUUAGAAUUUAUUACUCAAAGUUUAUGAACUAGUCUUUUAAUCGGCUAUAAAUAGUUAUUGUAAACAAAUAGUAAAAUUAGUUUAUUGAGUUUAAUACAAAACCUUCAUUCUUUUUCUUUUCUCACAUUUCUCUUCUCCCUGUAAAACUUCAUUUCUUGGUUUUAUAAUUGUUCAUCUCUGCUACUUCUCCAAUGUAGUUCAUAUGGUAUCAGAGCCACUAAGCUCACGCCAUGGAUUCUGGUGGUUCCGUUUUUCAUUAGAUUUCAUUGUCUUCUAGUUUUAUUUCUCUUCCGUUAAGUUCUUCAAUGCUUCUGUAAUUGUUCAGUAAUUACUGGGUAAAUUUCCCUUCUGUAUUUUGCGUAAAGAUUGUUGGUGAUAUAUGGGUCUUUGAAAUUGUGGUGUAAUCUGAAUGCAAUUGGCUAGUGGGUUCUGUUAAUUUCUUCUGUGCUUCUGCAAUCGUCAAACAGAAGUGGGAAUUUUCGGUUCUUGAAUUCGAUUUUUUUUUUUUAAAAAAGAUUUUCAUCGAGUUCUUCACCUCCUGAUUCUAGGGAAAAAAAUGGGUUUUCAAGCAAAUUCUUGGAUCCAGUGGAAUACCCUCACCUUGGAGGCGCUCGUGAUGGUGGUCUACAAUUUGGGUUUUGCUUUGGAAAUGGGUUUUCCUCCGGACAUGGUGCGGUGUUAGGAAUAACACUCGGUCAUCAAUUUAUGUGUGGAAGAAAGUUUAGAACUUUAUGCAGUCCAAGUGUUUGACGAAAUGCUCAGCCCAAGAUUUUUUGUGAAGGUUAUGUUUUCAAUCCUGUUAUAUGAGAUUGAGGGGGGAUGUUGAAUAUAUUACUACUAACUCAUCACUGCCAGCUCAUCAAAACAGUUGUAAGGGAUUGGAUUAUGUAAUAGUUAGUUGAAAGAGUUAGUUAGAGUUUGUUACUCAAAGCUUAUGAGCUAGUCGUCUGGUCAGCUAUAUAUAGCUAUUGUAAACAUAUAGUAAAAUCAGUCAUUGAAUUCAAUACAAAACCUUCAUUCAUUUUUUUCUCA